rnacentral:rRNA from 1 species
AUUGAACGCUGGCGGCAUGCCUUACACAUGCAAGUCGAACGGAUCCUUCGGGAUUAGUGGCGGACGGGUGAGUAACACGUGGGAACGUGCCCUUUGGUUCGGAACAACUCAGGGAAACUUGAGCUAAUACCGGAUGUGCCCUUCGGGGGAAAGAUUUAUCGCCAUUGGAGCGGCCCGCGUCUGAUUAGCUAGUUGGUGAGGUAAAGGCUCACCAAGGCGACGAUCAGUAGCUGGUCUGAGAGGAUGAUCAGCCACAUUGGGACUGAGACACGGCCCAAACUCCUACGGGAGGCAGCAGUGGGGAAUUUUGCGCAAUGGGCGAAAGCCUGACGCAGCCAUGCCGCGUGAAUGAUGAAGGUCUUAGGAUUGCAAAAUUCUUUCACCGGGGACGAUAAUGACGGUACCCGGAGAAGAAGCCCCGGCUAACUUCGUGCCAGCCGCCGCGGUAAGAC